ACUCAAAGGAAUAGACGGGGGCUCACACAAGCGGUGGAGCAUGUGGCUCAAUUCGAAGCAACGCGAAGAACCUUAUCCUGGACUUGACAUGGUAGAAGUAGGACCCAGAAAUGGUUACGACCGGUAUCCAAUCCGGAACUAUCACAGGUGCUGCAUGGCUGUCGUCAGCUCGUGCUGUGAAGUGUCGGGUUAAGUCCCAUAACGAGCGAAACCCUUAUCGUUAGUUGCCAGCGGGUCAUGCCGGGCACUCUAACGAGACUGCCGGUGUUAAACCGGAGGAAGGCGGGGAUGACGUCAAGUCCUCAUGGCCUUUAUGUCCAGGGCUGCACACGUGCUACAAUGCCGAUGACAAACCGAAGCAAGACCGUAAGGUGGAGCAAAUCGGAUAAAAAUCGGCCCAGUUCAGAUUGAGGGCUGCAACUCGCCCUCAUGAAGUUGGAAUCGCUAGUAAUCGCGGAUCAGCUACGCCGCGGUGAAUGUGUUCCUGAGCCUUGUACACACCGCCCGU
rnacentral:rRNA from 1 species